UCUGCAGAGUUUAGCUCCAACCAGCUCCAAAUCACACCUGCUUGGAUGUUUGUAGUAAUCCUGAAGACCUUGAUUAGCUUGAUCAGGUGUGUUUGAUUAGUGUUGGAGCUAAAAUGUGCAGAGCCAACGCUAUCUCACGACCAAUUCGUACAUAUUUUACGAGGUGGCUAAUUUGUGCGAAUUCAUACAACCUCACUCAAACGAUUUUGUCCGAUUUGUCUAGAUCCCAGUGACGGGUAGGUUUAGGGGCGGGGUUAGGUGUAGGUCAUUCGUACAAAUUUAUAUGAAUUGCGCAACUCAUAAAAUACGUACGAUUUAGGAAAAAUCUUAAGAAUUCGUACAAAUUAGCCACCUCGUAAAAUAUGCAUGAAUUGCCGUGAGAUCGGGCUGGCAGAGCUGUGUCCCUCCAGGAAUUGAGUUUGAGACCAAUGUUUUAUGGGUUUGGAACGACAUGAUGGAAGUUCCAUUGCCACGAUAACCAUUCGGGCAUGGUCCACAUUCCCAGGUUCCAUCAGAAGCUGUGAUACACUCAACUCCAGAGAAGCAAGGGUUUGAAAGACAGCCAUCUGUCAAAUCAACACAGCACCGUUUUUAGACACUCCUGACGGUUGCAUACUUCAUUUUCAAUGGAGUCUCCAAGACACUUCCUUCCUCCAUGCUGUGGUUCAGGGCUGUUACAUUCCCUAACACGACUCUUCAGACCCCCUCCACAUGUAGCCGAA